CCUACGGGGAGCAGCAGUGAGGAAUAUUGGUCAAUGGACGAGAGUCUGAACCAGCCAAGUAGCGUGAAGGAUGACUGCCCUAUGGGUUGUAAACUUCUUUUAUAUGGGAAUAAAAUGUUCCACGUGUGGGAUUUUGUAUGUACCAUAUGAAUAAGGAUCGGCUAACUCCGUGCCAGCAGCCGCGGUAAUACGGAGGAUCCGAGCGUUAUCCGGAUUUAUUGGGUUUAAAGGGAGCGUAGGUGGAUUGUUAAGUCAGUUGUGAAAGUUUGCGGCUCAACCGUAAAAUUGCAGUUGAAACUGGCAGUCUUGAGUACAGUAGAGGUGGGCGGAAGUCGUGGUGUAGCGGUGAAAUGCUUAGAUAUCACGAAGAACUCCGAUUGCGAAGGCAGUUCACUGGACUGCAACUGACACUGAGGCUCGAAAGUGUGGGUAUCAAACAGGAUUAGAUACCCGAGUAGUC
rnacentral:rRNA from 1 species